rnacentral:rRNA from 1 species
UGGACCUCAGAUCAGGCAAGAUCACCCGCUGAGUUUAAGCAUAUCACUAAGCGGAGGAAAAGAAACUAACAAGGAUUUCCUUAGUAACGGCGAGCGAACCGGAA